AUACGUAGGUGACAAGCGUUAUCCGGAUUUACUGGGCGUAAAGGGCGUGUAGGCGGUCUUGCAAGUCAGAAAUGAAAUUCCUGAGCUCAACUCGGGCGCUGCUUCUGAAACUGCAGGACUUGAGUGCUGGAGGGGAUAGCGGAAUUCCUAGUGGAGCGGUAAAAUGCGCAGAUAUUAGGAAGAACACCGGUGGCGAAGGCGGCUAUCUGGACAGUAACUGACGCUGAGGCGCGAAAGCGUGGGGAGCAAACAGGAUUAGAUACCCUGGUAGUCCACACUGUAAACGAUGAAUGCUAGGUGUAGGGGGUAUCGACCCCUUCUGUGCCGCAGUUAACACAAUAAGCAUUCCGCCUGGGGAGUACGGCCGCAAGGUUGAAACUCAAAUGAAUUGACGGGG
rnacentral:rRNA from 1 species